UGCCCCCUCUUCUAGCCAUGUGCCAUGGAUUAUCACAAGGAGCUCUGGGUUCCUGCAUGGUGCGUGGUGUUGGUGUUCUUUGUCAUUCGAUUCUGAAGGAGUGGGAUGUUUUCAGUGGUUGGGCAAGUGACCAAGAGGCAACCACUUUACUCAUAAGUGAGUUAUCAAUUAUCAUAAAGAAUCCACUUGCCAAAAACACAGGCUUUUUGUUGUGAGAAGAAGAAAAGAUUAGGCCAGUGGACACGGACUACAAAUCAGGAGAUUCUAGCAUCUAGCUGGGAAAAGCAGAGUUUAUCACAUCUGUGUGUGGAUGGGCUGACCCUGGGAGAGAGACAGCAGGAGCUGGCUGGGACAGAUUUCACCUGUGAGCAGACGGGCUGAUACCAGGAGAGAAAGAUGGGAGCGAUCAACUGGGAAAGGGGUCCAGCUUACAUAGGUUUUGGGGAAGGGGCUAAAAUCAUAAGGAAUGUUUACGAGUUGGAUGCCCAAGGACGGUCUGCUCAGGAAUACCAAGGAAUCCAGCUGGAGCCCUAAGGCCGGAGUCACUAGGGUGCCGGAGAGAGGAAAGAAGACGGCAGGUGCGUCGUGAGCAGGUGUCGCACGCGGUCACGCAGUUAACGUCUCUCACUCUACCAGUAAGCAAAGAAGACAAGGCUGCUAAAAUUGUAAAAGACAAAACUCGAAAUAAUAGAAUGAAAACAAACAAACAAACAAAAAGAAUAAAGACUUCAGCUGGACAUUGAACUACAGUGACGUUUUCAUGGCUUGGGAGCCAACUUUUAACACGCUCAUUGUCUAACCAUCCUGCCAGGUGUUGCCUUCAGUGUGGCUCAGCAAGUGAACUGUUUUUAUGAAGGAAGAGAAAACAUCCUUUCUUCUCUGUGGCAUUUCUGGAAUACCUCAAGCUUCUUUCAUUAACAACUCAGUGACGGUUUGGAGAAGCCCCCGUAUGUUAUUUCCCAGGACUCUGCCAUAAGAGCAGAAGGUGAAAUUUUUCCUGUACCCUGGCCAAUCCCCCACCAACAACUCUUCUUCAUUCGCAUUCCCUUCCAUUCACAAAUGUAGGAUAAUGACAUUAAAAGAGGCACGCACGAGUGUACAGAAACCCAAAGCAGGGAAUAAUGGAGCCUCCCUGUGUGCAAGGCUCACACUCAGAGUGAAACACCCCCAGUGCCCACUCUUCUGCUCUGCAGCAAAGUAGAGCUGAAAAAGUCCAGUGACACUUGAAUGACUCAACCUUUACACAGUGUUUUGAUGUGUUUUGAACUGAACCUACUUUAUCAGGGGAAAGAGUUUGUUUCAUCUGAAAUUACUCAUUCCACCCGAAUGCCAGCACUGUGGUGGGUACUAGGUGUAGUAGGAGGUACCUGCCCUCAAAGAAACUUGCCACCUAGCAGGAAAGACAGACAUGGAGUACAAACUUGCUAGAAAAAGAGGUCAAAGGAGAGGAAGUAGUAUCGAUAUGCAAUGCAGGGAUCCUGAACUUUGCAAGCAACAAAACAGCAUCUAAUAAGAAGCAAUGUUACUGUAACAAGUUAAAGGAUGGUAAAGCUUGACCAGGUGAAGCUAGAGAGUCUCCAGGAAUAAAAAAACAAAAGCCGCACCUGUGAGCAUGGAGUCAGGACAAGACAGGGCAGAAAGUGUGCUGCAGUCAGAAAAGUCAGCUGAAAAGAUAAGAGAGGUAUCGUGGUAUUAAAAAAUAGGAAGAGCCAAAUCUCGCUUGUAUCGUGGUAUUAAAAAAUAGGAAGAGCCAAAUCUCGCUGGUAUGUGAGUUCAUAAGGCCUCUCAACAAACGAUCAUUAGAUACUUGGAAGGCAGCCAGACUUGGGUCAUCUUCUGGACCCUCUCCUAAGAGGACUUCAAAGGGGAUGAUGUCCUCAGCAACAAGUAGUUGUGAUGUAUUCCAAGAAAGCUAAUCUGAGUGGACGUUGAGAGAUGUCAAUGUGGAAAUAAAUGGACAGUGGGCAGGGCGCCUGCAAGCCUCUGAGAAACAUACAGAGGCACCCGAGAGAGGAGCGGCAUCAGGGGCCUGCCUUUUGUAAGCACUGACACCCGAGAGGAUCUAGUAUACAGGCUACGUGAAGACACUGUUGGCUUCCCUUUGCUUGGUCCUCUUCCCCUACUGGAACCCUGGAAAAGCUGAAGUGAAAAAGUUGAUGGGCCACUCUUGUGUUCCACAUCCUCAACUAUAGGGUCUGGCUCUAAGAUGAAAGGAAAAGGAAAGCUAAGUUGGAAUUGAGGAUAAAGUUGUCACAUGGAGUAAACUGGGUUGAACCGAAUUAUCAUGUUCCUGCUCAAAAUGAUCCUCCCCAAAUGAGAUCAUUCUUCUAUAUGAUAAGAAAUAGAAAUGGAAUAUUCACAGAGCACAAGCAAAGAUGAAAGUUACAGAAAAGCAAAACAAGUAUUAUAUGCCCUUGGAGUUAAGGCUGUCCAAUAAACACUAUGCUACGACAACAUGGAACCUAAGGCAGACGAAGAAGAAGUAAAGACAAGGAGAGGCUGAUGGAUGGGAAGAACACAGCAGGUUCUCUGUAUAUGGCACCUCGAUGAAGCCACAGAACACUUGCAGUGGACCCCUUAAGCAGAAGAGCCGGAAGCCCAGGAAGCGUGGACGGGCUGCAUCACUGACUUCAUAGUGGCAUAAUGAAUUCACAUUAAAUUCAUGGAGUCAUCAAGGCUGAGUACAAGAAAACGUGCGUGAAGAUAAGAAAGUUAGUCAACUGAGAAGUUGUAUUUAUUCUCCUAACCUGGAUGCUGAAGUCUCCCCAGAAGAUGACAGGCACUGGGGUGCAGAAAAGCACUGAGAACCGCACACUAAAUAUUGCACUGAAGGGAUGGGUGUGCUGAUGGCAGGAACAAGGUAAAUGGGCCUGAGAAAUAGAGAGCUGGGUAGCAGCUGCCAGCGAGAAAGGCUUUUUGUCAGAGAAGGAAGGACUGCUGCUGUGCAAACACUGCCCAAAAGUGAGGAGCAUACACUCUCACACACCCACUUCCUCCGUGAGGCUUUCGCAGGCUGUGCCACGAUGCUGAGGUUUGCUCUGGAUAUGAGGAUUUGGGGCUGUUUGUUAACAAUGGGAAUUUCAGAAGGUUCAGGAAUGGCUUGUGAGAAUCGAGACACAGGCGAUUGGCAAAGUCAAGAGUGAUGGAGAAAUGUGUUCACCACAGGAUGUUGUGCAGGGGACGUAGUUGACCUGGCUUGUGUUUUACUUAAAAGACUUUAGGACUGUACAAAGACUUUCCUGAGGGAAGUCAAGGACACAGGAAGGGAGAUCAUCUGGAAGACUUAUCUAAUCAUAACGAAAAAUCCCCAGGGUGUGACACUGAAUAGCCAUAACAAGAUUGAUCAGCUAUAUAUAUAGGACCUCGUGACUGAUUGGAUGUGAGGAGUGAAAGAAGAGAUAGUUUACAAUAACUCUCAGAUUUCCAUCCUGAGUAACUUGACAGAUGGCAGUGAAAAUGGAGGAAAUCAAAGUUAUGGGGAGAUACAACCACAUUUGGACAAUGUAUCAAAAACUAGAGACUUGAGCUGAUUCCCAGUUGGCACUUUCCUUCAUCCAUGGUA